CUCGAAUUACGUUGGUAACCAGUUUAAAAUAGCAAUAAGGCGGCACCUCAGGGGUUUGUGGUAUAUGGUCAAUAUACCACAGCUAAGGGCUAUGUCCAGGCACUCCGCGUUGCACAUAAGAAUAUACAGUACCAGUCGAAGGUUUGGACAUGCCUACUCAUGUAAGGGUUUUUCUUUAUUUGACUAUUUUCUACAUUGUAGUGAAGAUAGUGAAGACAUCAAAACUAUGAAAUAACACAUGGAAUCAUGUAGUAACCAAAAAAGUGUCAAAUCAAAAUAGGAUUUAUAUUUGAGAUUCUUCAAAACAGCCACUCUUUGCCUUGGUGACAACUUUGCACACAUUUGGCAUUCUCUCAACCAGCUUUGAGGUAGUAUCCUGGAAUGCAUUUCAAUUAACAGGCGUCCCUUGUUAAAAGUUCAUUUGUGUCAUUUCUUUCCUUCUUAAUGUGUUUGAGCUAAUCCAGUUGUGUUGUGACAAGGUAGGGGUGGUAUACAGAAGAGGGUAUUUGUCCAAAUAGGGCUAAGUCCAUAUUAUGGCAAGAACAUCUGAAAUAAGCAAAUAUGACAGUCCAUCAUUAAAACGUGGUCAGUCAAUCCCAAAUAAGAACUUUGAACGUUUGUUCAAGUGCAGUUGCAGAAGCGCUAUGAUGAAACUGGCGCUCAUGUGGACUGCCACAUUAAAGGAAGACCCAGAGUUCCCUCCGCUGCAGAGAAUAAGUUCAUUAGACUUAACUGCACCUCAGAUUGCAACCCAAAUAAAUGCUUCUGUUUGUUAGUCACAUCAACUGUUCGGAGACUGCGAGAAUCAAGCCUUCAUGGUCAAAUUGCUGCAAAGAAACCACUACUAAAGGACACCAAUAAGGAGACUUUCUUGGGCCAAGAAACAUGAGCAAUGGAUAUUAGACCGGUGGAAAUCUAUCCUUUGGUCUGAUGCGUGCACUUGAGAUUUUUGGUUCCAACAACCUUUGCCAGAUGAGGUGAACAGAUUUAUCGCCGCAUGUGGUUCCCACCACGAAACAUGGUGUGAUGGUGCUUUGCCUGUGACAGUGAUUUAUCUAGAAUAAGGCACACCUAACCAGCAUGGCUACCACAGCAUUCUGCAGCAAGAUCCCAUCUAGUUUUGGCUUAGUGGGACUGUUUUUCAACAGGACAAUUAACCAACACACACUUCCAGGUUGUGUAAGGGCUAUUUCACCAGGAAGAGGGGAGUACUGCAUCAGAUCACCCGACCUCAGAACUUGGCACGCUGGAAAACCACUGUUCAGGAACUUAGUUAAACCGGAACCUCAACUAUAUUACUGAUCCCCAGGGCAGUUAAGUCUACAGCUGUACAAAUGUAAACCAAAUUGUACUGCAACGGGGACUCAAAAGCAUCAACUGGUUCCCCAGAUAUUAGUUUCCAACAUUAUCAAAAGCAUUAAGUGCAAGUUGGGUGGACCGAAAGAUAAGAAUUUCACCACACCCGCAAUAUCUACUAAAUGUGUGUGAUCAAUAAAAUAAGAUUUGAACCUGAAUCAAUGUUUACAGAGACUGUAAUGUAGUUAGUAAACCAAAUAUUUAUUAUGGUCUUUACAACAGCUGUGCAGGAGAGAUUCUAGCAGAAGUCAACGGCCAGGAGCCAUUGGCAGAGUAGAGGGCUGGGUAGGCAGAAUCUGUCCUUCACACCAACGAGGCCAGCUUCAGACCACCAUGGUUCAGCUCUUCAAAUCAUGGACCGCUGGCUUCAGAGGGCUUGGAGUGGGUGGAGAAAAACAAUCACAGCAGUAGGGGAAUGGGCCAGUCUACUUGGACCUCUGCCUCAUCUUUCGCCUUUUACGCUUCAGCCUACAAAGACCAGAAAGUGUCAAUUAGUGACCAGGGCUGCAUCAUUACACACCAUAUCAGCUUGUAAAAGUCCCAACAAUGACUAGCAUUAAUCCCACCAUUGUCAUGUACUCAUUUAAAUGUAAUGUUCAUUUAAAAAUAGGCAAGUCAGUUAUCAUUUAUUUUUUACAAUGACACACGGCUCCCCAGUAGGCUGUUAGCUGCCUUGUUCUGGGGUAGAACAUAUUUAAGUGUUCCACCGUGGCGAUUCGAUCCAGCAAACUAGCAGUUACUAGCCCAGUUCUCUAACCACUAGACUACCUGCAACGCCGAAUGAACAAACAUUCAACAUACACCCUGAAUUGAACUCGUAUGAGCCUGAAAAACAGUCAUAUACAUGGUUGUCAAAUCUAUUGUAGUAGAUUGCAAAUGUGCCAUGUCCAUGUUAACAGAAGACUGGAGUAGAAUGCAUAUCUGAACGAAACUACAAAGUAGCAUUAGCAUUCAGAUGAAAAGCCUUAAAGGAAAUGAUUCUUACCUGCGCAUACGCUUCUUCCUCCACUAAAAACAAAAUAACACUUAAAUCAAUUUAAAGACUCACAACCAAACAAGGAAUCAUUCAUGUUUAAAGCACAAGCUGCGGAUCUAAACAGGAAGACACGUGAAUAUCUGGCAUGGCAAUGCGGACCAUGCGUCACAAUGUUAAGAGUCAAGAUGAUACAAACACGCAGUAGGCAUGGCACUGGUGAACAGUAUAAUUGAUCGUGCUAAUAUAAGCCAUUCCUGAAAUCUACAAAAUGCAUUACAAGUAAUAUUGCUAGUACCAUGUGCGCCAUGAAACCUAGUUCGCCAACGUGGUCAAGCUAGCAAAACCCCAAUACGCCAUGUAUGAAAUUGAAUAUCACAUUCAAAAUUAACUCCUGCGCCAAUUAAGCGUUUCCCCCUUUAAAGUAAUAUUGGAUACUGCCAAUGUUUCCAUAUUUUAAUUGGAAGCCAACUAUUUAGGCACGUUGUCGUUAAGACACAUGUUUAUGUAGCGUUAGUUAGCUAGCCACUGCUUAGUGACAAUGUGCCAAACAAAAACCCGCUAAUAUGGAGUUAGAUAUUUAUCAACUCACCUUUGCUCUCAUCUUGUGGAGAUGUGCCUGCAAUUAAAGAUAACACAGUUGUUGUAUGUAAUGGAUGGCAAACAAUUACUAGUGAUUCAGUUGGAUUUGUUCUGGGACAUAAUUCAAUGUUUCUUACCUCUACAGCGAAGACACCAAAUUGAAAGAGGACGUGACGAAGAAAGGGGAGGGCCUUUAUAGAACAAAAUGGAACGUCAUAUUCAAUCGCCACUUGCUCAGCUCACUGCUCACUGGGCGAUGUAGGCAGAAAUCGUUGAAAUUUAAAUCAUAUUUUAUGUUGGAAUUAUAUACCUAUGUUCAGCUAUGUUCAGGCAUGUCUACAAUCACGUAAGUCCAUGGGUGCUGUUUGUAAUAGAAAAAUGGGUCACACUUUCCGUCCAUGUAAGCUUCCUUUUAAAUCUUAUCAAGCAAAUGUUAUUUUUCCACCACACCUCCCCAAUCCAAGUCAUAUAUAAUCUGAAACCUCUGAUUAAAGUGAAACUGAAUGGUCCAGGCAUCAAUUAUGUACACUACAUGACUAAAAGUAUGUGGACACCUGUUCAUCUCAUUCCAAAAACAUGGGCAUUAAUAUGGAGUUGGUUGGUCACCCCCUUGCUGCUAUAGCAGCUUCCACUCUUCUGGGAAGGCUUUCCACUAGAUGCUGGAACAUUGCUACAGUGACUUGCUUCCAUUCAGCCAACAAGAGCAUUAGUG
ensembl:lncRNA